UGACAGUGUCGGAGUAUGCCCGUAAGUUCCUAGAGCUGGGCCGACAUGCCCCGGAGACAUUGAUGGAUGAGGGCCGAAAGGCCAGGAAAUUCCAGUGGGGUCUCCGCCCGGAGAUCAGACAGCACUUACUGGUAAUGGAGCUCGAGACAUAUUCAGCAGUCCUGGCAAAGGCGCAGAUCAUAGAAAGGAGCUUCGACACCCACCCUCAGCUAGC
rnacentral:lncRNA from 1 species